UAUUCGGUAUUGUUGAAGGUCCUGUGGAUCUUCGUGUUUUAGUUGCUCUCAUUCUUGUUCGCAUACCAUCAGCCUCUCUCAUUCUUGUUGGAGUUUAUUCAGACUACUGGAGAUUUAAUGAAGAUCUAUUGAAGAUUUUGUUCAUCUUUUGCUUCAUUUGUAUUGCUGAUCCUGUGGAUCCUCAUAUAUCAGGUUGUAUUGUUUCAUUUAAAGUUGUAUUGCGUUGAUUAAUCAACUGAUUGUUAUCAGUUGAUUACAUACUUUGUAUUGGUUGAUUUCAGAUCUUACAUUUUGUAAGAUCUUGGGAGGUUGGGAGUUUUUUCGGUUUGGGUUAAAUAAUAAAGUUUUUCGUCACGUUUUGUCGCUUCUCUUGUGUUUUAUGUUGUUCUUUGAGUUUUGUAUUGAAUGUUCAUACCAUUUUUACAUGGUAUCAGAGCCUGUAUAGCUCUUGGUUGAUUGUUCUUCCGCUGGUUUAUCUCUGUUGUUGUUUUUUUCUUGUAGGUUAUCUUAGGGUUUUUUGACUCAAGAAACCCUAGUUGGAGGAUUUUGGGCGUAGUGUCAAAUUAGGGUUUGAGGAACCUAAUCGGAGGUUUUCUGUAUCUCUAUACUUUGGGAUCUGCGUGUGAAGUGUCUUGUUGAAUUAUGUGGUUCAGGUCAAGUUGAGGGGGCUGUAUGUUAUAUUCGAGGGACUGAGAUCAUCUUGAUGAAGAAUUUUGGACUUGG
rnacentral:lncRNA from 1 species